UUUCUACUUGUUUAUAUCAAUAAACAAGGAGAAAACAGGCAGCACAAAUCAUUGAAGCUGCAGCUCUGCCAUCACGCAGAACCCGUAACUGCUCCGUGUGUGCAUUCCCCAUUCCCUCCCUGUUGGAGCGAAAAAGUUUUGCUCGGUGCGUGGCCGCUUUCUUAGCUGCUCACUGCUGUGCUAUCUGCCACUGUCUCCGGACCCUAAGCCGGCCAUGCCUGAUAUUCCCGAAGCCUGCUGCUUGAUGGGCCCCCCUCCCUCUCAGGCCCUGGUGCGGCUGCACCCCUAAUAGUUCCGCCCCUAAUGAUGAUAGUACUAAGUUUAUUAGUAUGUAUUUAUUAUUACUACUUGUACCCUCUGACCACUGUUUAUUGUAGUGAAACAAAAAAAAUAUAGUGAGAGAUGAUUAGACAUAUAGUACUUUAUACUGUUUUACAUUCUGACCACAAUGUAUAAACUUCCUAGUUACUUGGUCCAUUGUGUUUUCUAUACAAUGUUGUCAAACUUUUUUUGGCAAUUUGUGUGUGUUUGUUUGCAUCAGUGUUUUAUGUCUUUAAACAUAUAAGUUGUCAUUUCCAACUUGCUUUCCUUUAAAAUGUUAUGUUUUGUAAUAAAUAGUACACGUACUAGUAAACCAAUUUUUUUUAAUUUUUUUUAGGCAGUUGCUGUUUUGUCGAGUUACCCUGGGGAAGUCUUUUCUUCAGUUCAGUGCAAUGAAAAUGGCUCAUUCGCCACCUGGCCAUCAUUCUGUUACGGGGCGGCCAAGUGUGAAUGGCCUUGCUUUGGCUGAAUAUGUGAUUUAUCGAGGAGAGCAGGCUUAUCCAGAAUACUUAAUAACAUACCAGAUUGUGAAGCCUGAAACUGCAGCAGAAGGAUGAAAGAACUGCAGUGGACAAAUAAGCUUUUUGCAACUUCAUUUUUGCCUGUGACAUGUCAGUUCAAAGCAAUGUGAAUGCAUUCUAACAUUGAAAGACUAAAGCUUUAAAUGAUGUACAGUACGUUUCCUGAACAUUUACAAGAUACUUUUUUUUUAUCAGCACUUUAACAGACACCAUUCUUAAUAUAAAAUGGGUUUGUUUAUUUAAUUUUACACAAGUUUUGAGUUAACUUGAAUAGUGUUUUGUUUUAAUCCAAUACAUUGAGUGUCUAAUCAAAAGAGUAAUUUUUCUGUAAAGAACUUAAAUGACUAAAACUGUGUAUUUUAAAACACAGCAUUUACACUGAAUACAGUUAAUUUGUACAACUGUAAAUAAGAGCUUUUGUACUAGCCUGGUAUUUAUUUUCUUUUUUCUUUGUAAUAUAAAAGGACUUUUAGAAAUUCAACAUUUUACAAAAAAAUAGCUAACAAUUUUGUGGGCACAAAACCUUGUGCUGUCCUUUUUAAAUGCCACAAUCCAUUUACGUGCUGUGUAUGAGGACAAUCUCUAAAAUUGCUAAAGAUUUAACACAAUUUUAGAGUAGCAGCGCUCUUCAGCAAUUUUUAUACCAGAAUGUUUGGUUCAAGAAAAUUGCUGCAUCUAUAACAAGGGAUGUUGUAUCCUUUUUAAAAGCCUACCAUCAACAUUUCCAUAGCUUAAAGUUUAAGAUUAAAAUCUGUUUUGCUUCCAUUUCUUGAAGUAGCCAUCUUUUAUUUGUCAUUAAUUAUGGCAUUGAACAUGCAUUGAGCUUUGUUCACUUUCCCUGUGUCUAGAAAAGCAUAUGUAAAUAUGUUUUUUUUGUAUUGGAAGACCAAGGGAAUAUCAUUGCUCUUCAGUGUUCUGUAGUCCUGAAUAAUAUUAAAAUGUAACUAUCUAACAAGUUUGUUAAUUUUUUCAUACAUUUUACUCUAAAAUACAGAAUUUGAUUUCCCUGCUAUUAGUAGAUACAGUUUUCAACAGAUAUGAAAGACUUUAGCAAUAUUGAUGUGUAAGUAGUAGCAUGUUUGUGGUUUGAUAAAUGGAAGCAAACAAAUUUUGGUUACAUUUUCUCCAUAGAUGUUUGCUUUAUGUAUGAGUAAUCAAAAUUGAAUUAUAAAAAGUAAUUACUGUCAAAAAUACAUGCUACUACAAAGUUAAAGCAUCAAUUUCAUGUUAAGGGGUAUCUCCUUAAAUUUAUGAUGUAUAGUAUCAAACCUUUCAAUCAUUCAACCAUCUAUAUAAAGCAUUAUAUGUGAAUACUUUAUUUCCCGCUAACAUAAUUAGUACUUGGAUGAUGUUCCCCUUUCUGUUCUAUGAGCAUUUUUUAGAGCUAUAGACACCACUAAGUCAAAAUUGUAAGUAAUUUUGCACAAGAGGACAUUAUGAUUAACAAUGUAAUAUCUUCCUCUACUUUUUAAAGAAUGUUCCAACUUCUUGUGGGUUCAUGACAGUAAGUAAUCUUGCAUUGUUAGCCUUCCUUGGUGGUUUGAUAUCUUUACAUGUACAGUUGUGUGUAAUGUAUAUUGAGUUUAUGUAAUUGACAGUAUAUUGUAGUCUUUCAACAAUUUUUGAGAAACUAAUUGUUCGUACAAAGCCAAUAUAAUUUGAUCUUUGUCCUUGCUCAGCUUGCAAGUAGGUUUUAGCAAUGUUCUAUAUUUACUAUAUUGAGGAGCAGUGAAGAUCCUUACUUAAUUUUUCAGGUGAAUGUGCUCCGUUGGUUAACUUCACUUUUUAACUUUGCCAUUUUUUAUGCUUUGCAGGUAUCCUGCAGUAUUGAAUUAUGUAUAAUGUGUUACUCUGUGUUAAAUAAAAACUAAAUAUGUGCAUUUGUUAAACAUUGUGAUGUUUAAAAAAAAAAUCUUUUAUUGUAAAUGCCUUGAAAUAAUUAAGUUCACAUUCUGUCUAGAUAGGCUUCUUAUUGCCUGCUUACUUCAUGUCUAUUAAAAUGUUUGGAUGGAAAAUAAAA